rnacentral:rRNA from 1 species
AUUGAACGCUGGCGGCAUGCCUUACACAUGCAAGUCGAACGGUAACGGGCCUUCGGGUGCCGACGAGUGGCGAACGGGUGAGUAAUACAUCGGAACGUGCCCGAACGUGGGGGAUAACGAGGCGAAAGCUUUGCUAAUACCGCAUACGAUCUACGGAUGAAAGCAGGGGACCGCAAGGCCUUGCGCGGACGGAGCGGCUGAUGGCAGAUUAGGUAGUUGGUGGGAUAAAAGCUUACCAAGCCGACGAUCUGUAGCUGGUCUGAGAGGAUGAUCAGCCACACUGGGACUGAGACACGGCCCAGACUCCUACGGGAGGCAGCAGUGGGGAAUUUUGGACAAUGGGCGCAAGCCUGAUCCAGCCAUGCCGCGUGCAGGAUGAAGGCCUUCGGGUUGUAAACUGCUUUUGUACGGAACGAAAAGCCUUCUUUUAAUACAGGAGGGUCAUGACGGUACCGUAAGAAUAAGCACCGGCUAACUACGUG